UUACUAGAAAUGCUUUUCUUCUCUAAAAGACCUUGGCAUUUAUCAUAUGGAUGCGGUCCUUGCUGCUCCCUAACACUGUAAAGUUUUUAGCCUCAUUUUUCAGGCUGUUUAGUGUUCUCAUCAUCAUAUGUAUUGUUCUUCUCUGGUAAAUGGAUCAUUGCCUUUUCACCACUUCAUUUACUUUGGGUGUUUGGUUUCCAUUCCCCUCAAUAUUGUUUUUGGUGCCUUAGAGACAUGGUGAAGGGGUAAAAAGAUUUAGUGCCGGUUACCUGAGGUCACCAUUUCAAAGUCUGCUGCAAGUCCCCUGCUAAGACUAGUCUUGGCGUUUUAUGGGGGUAAGUUAGGCCCUAAUACAGGUUUUCUGGACAUUUCAGCAGCCCAACCUCACACUCUCAUUGGUCGGCAUUUCCAACAGCAUCAUCUUAUCUACACAUCUUCCCUCUUACCCAAGCUACUCUCAGCCGUGAUUAAUAUAAACACUUUUAAAUGACUCAUUUAAUGAAAAUGUUUAGCACCGCCCUAGUCAUUCUGGAGAGUAACUUGAAAGUAUCUAUUAAAAUUAAAUAUAGAACUACCAUAUGAUCCAACACUCCCACUCCUGGGCAUAUAUCCAGAGAAAACCACAAUUCAUAAAGAUACAUGUGCCCCAGUGUUCAUUGCAGCACCAUUUACAAUAACCAAGACAUGGAAACAGCCUCAGCGUACAUCUACAGAGGAUUGCGUAAAGACAAUAUGGUGCAUAUAUACAAUGGAAUAUUACUCAGGCAUAAAAAAAAUAAUGUCAUUUGCAGCGACAAGAAUGGACCUAAAGAUUUUCAUAUCGAGUGAAGGAAGUCAGACAGACAAAUAUCAUGUGAUAACACUUAUAUGUGGAAUCUAAUAAAAAUGAUACAAAAGAACUUAUUUAAAAAACAGAAACAAACUUACAGAUUUCACAAGCAACCUUAUAGUUGCCAUAGGUGAAACUGUGGCGGAGGGGAGGGAAUAACACAUACACCCUAGUGUAUAAAAUAGGUGGUUAAUGAGAGCCUACUGUAUAACACAGAAAAGUUGCCUCAAUAGUUCGUAAUAACUUCCAUGGGAAAAAAAGAAUGGCUAUGUUUAUAUGUAUGACUGAUUCACUUUGCUAUACACCUGGGACUAAUACAACACUGUAAAUCAGCUCUACACUAAUAAAAUAAAAUUUAAAAAAAUUUGUGUACCUUUGUACAUACGCUGUUCCCAUCUUGGUACCUAUGUUAGAAAAGCAUGAGCCCAAGGAGAUGUACGGGAAGAUAUUCAUUGAAGGCCAAGAAGUCCAAAACUUGAUAAUAUUCAAUAGUAGAAGGACUUUAAUAAAGUCAGUUACGUUGAUAUGAUUUAAAUAUUAUUCAGUAGUUAAAUGAUGGAUGUCUGUCUAUCUCAAGACAGCUCUGUCUCCUCUAGGUGCCCAGUAGAGGGGGAGAAAAAGCAAGAUUCAGACUAAUACUUACAGGAAGAUGUCAUUAAAACUGUAAAACGGGACCAUGUGUUUUUAGGGAUAAGCGUUAAUGUAAAUGCGUAGUGAAAGGUCUAGAACGUAUACUGUCAGUGGGAGUGAUGUUGCCCCCAGCAGGGCAAAAGUUGGAUCUUGGGAGAUAGAAAAAAUCGCUCUAGAGCCUAACCCUGCCUGAUGAAAUUCUGUCCCUUAGUAUUUAAUUUCUCAUGAGGGAGAAUUCAAAGUUAAUCAACAUUUUUUCCUUGAGAGUCACCAAUAGUUAAAAAAAAAAAGUCAAAAAACAUCGGUUUAGAAGGAUGUACAGGUCUCUCUAGUCACACUACCUGGGUUCAAAUUCUGGCUCUAACAUUUACUAACUGAGCCUGUGGGGGAGGGUGGGAGAAGAUAUUCCUUCUCUCAGUGCCUCAAUUCCCUCAUCUGCCAAAUGAGCAUCAUCAUAAUAAAACCAACUUCAUAAGGUGGUUUUAAGGUUGAAAUGGGAUCAUGUGUGUAAAAAACAUAGUAUCUGACAUAUUGCUCAAGACAUUGCUGUGUUGUCCAGCAAGCACAGUGGCAGGCCUGGGGAUGCAAGAAUCCGUAAAAUAAAGAAGGUUUUUACCCUGUCAAAGUUUAGAAGUGUGGUGGGAAAUACCAGAAUAAGGAAACAAAAAAUUACAAUACUGGGUGACAAAUGCUAUGAUAUAGAAAGUACAGGUGUCCAGGGUUUAAGUGGAACGCUGGAAAAGAGGAUCAGAGAAGGCUUCUCAAAGGAAGACUGCCAGGUUGGGAACUUAGGAAUGAGUACGAAUUAUACCAGUAAGGGGGAAAACAUAGCCUGUGUAGGUUUCAGGUCUCCCAAGGUGAGCGAGUACACAGCAUUUGGAUGUUAGUUGAGGGGUAGCUGGAGUAGAGUGGGGUGUGAGUUUGUCAACAGUGAUGUCUAGAGCCAGCUCUCCCAGCUCACAAGAUCUUAUUGUUCAACUUUCUCGUGAGCCCACUGACUACAUGCUUGUAGCUUGAAAUCAGCCAGCGUGGAGUAUUUACACCAUGGAAAUUGGCAAACACAGGCCCUCAUUCCUAAGAGCCCAUUGUUAAAUAUUUAUCAGCCUCCUUCUGGCUGUAGAGGAGGUCGGUGAAUGGGUUACAAGGUUGGAGAUGAUUUUGCAGGGCCUCGUGGGCCACAUUAAAAGUAUUUAACAUUACCCUCAAAGAAGCCUGCAUAGCUCUUGAGUCUCAGACCUGGGUUCAAACCUUGACGUUUGACAGUUUUGUUGAACUGAUUCAUGAAUGAAUCUUGAUCAAGGAAGUGAAUGCCUUCUUUUUUUUUUUUUUUUUCCCUCAUCAGAUGAUGGGAACAGGAGUAGUCUCUGAUGUUAGAGGAACUCAAGCCCUCUUGGAAGGAGUCAGCUAUAAGCUGGGCUGUGGUGGUGGGGGGGUCACAGAGAGAGGCAGCUUACUUUUCUGGGAGAUGUGGAUCAUUGGGUCACCUGGUUCCCAGGAUCCUCUUGUCAAUGAGGAGCCUCCUGAUUAUAUGUCCACGCUUCACAUGUGAUUUGUGCAGUUAGAUUUUAAUCCACGGCUGAUUUGCUCUUGCCCCCAAGCCUGUACUCAUGUAUUCUCUCCUAUUAUCAAGGGGUCCCCCCCCCCCCCCCCCCCCNGCCCCAUUCAGAGAAGGUAAAAGUAAUUCAAAUACAGCAUCUCCUUAGGCAAAGCGUAAUAAGCAGCUCGCUCAAUCAGUUUAGCCUGGUAUUGUCUGGCACAUCAACUUGCAUUCUUUUAGAGUGAAUUCAGGGACGUGGGCAAAGAUAAGCCCACAUUCAAGUGUGAAAGGCCUGACAAUCCUUUCCUAAGGC
rnacentral:lncRNA from 1 species